rnacentral:lncRNA from 1 species
UUCAGAUUGGAUUUUGUUGUUUUUAUGCUGUAAUUUUCUCUGAAUCUGGACACACAUAGAUACCAUCUCUGCUGUCAUUUGUUUUGAAGAUGAAUUUCAUCUAAUGCUUCCUUCAGAUGUAACUGGCAUGUGCACAUUCUCACACUGCGGGAAUUUGACUUCAUCUUCUCACCCCAAAGCACUGGCCACUUAAAGAACUGCCAUUUCACUGAGACAGAUAUUGGGGAUUUGCUUAUUUUAUAUUUUCAAAUAUGCAUUUCUGUUCAAGAUAUUUGAAAGCUGAAUUAUAUGUGGGAGAGCGAUGCAGAGGAAGAGCUGAUGAUGUGAGAAAUGCAAGAUACGAGUACUGGAAAUGAUGGUUCCAGUAGAUGAGACCCACUCAGAUAAUAAAAAUGUGAGUCAGCUCCCA